AUGUCUUUUGAUGUAAUUUACUCACAUUAUUUCUCAUUUGUGACUCCAGUGGGCUCACAGGAAGGACAGACUCAGUCUCCUAUAAAAUGGAUACUCGCAUUCUCCCCGGGAUCCUGCUGUGUGAAGAGCCCCACUACUGUAGGACCAGUUUCCCCAUCUGGAAAAUGGAUCACUCUGCCCAAUCCAUCUCACUCAAGAACCAUUUUUGAAGGUAAAAUCAACAGAAGAAUAGAAAAAGAAGGAGAAAGGAAGAGGGAAAGUAGAGGUACAGAUCUGAGUCAAUGA
rnacentral:lncRNA from 12 species